UGUGAAAGGGACCUCGCUCUAGAAAAGCAGCCCACAACUGCCUCAGCUCUCAGAGGAGGCUGAGCUUCUAACAGGACUUGUCUGAGAGUGGACUCGGCUGUCUGUCCAUCCUACAUGGAGCCAAAACGGAUCAGGGAGGGCUACCUUGUGAAGAGGGGAAGUGUGUUCAACACCUGGAAACCCAUGUGGGUUGUGCUGUUAGAAGAUGGAAUUGAAUUCUAUAAGAAGAAAAGUGACAACAGCCCCAAAGGAAUGAUUCCCCUGAAAGGAAGUACACUGACCAGCCCUUGUCAAGACUUUGGCAAAAGGAUGUUUGUGUUUAAGAUCACUACGACCAAACAGCAGGACCACUUCUUCCAGGCAGCCUUCCUGGAGGAGAGAGAUGCCUGGGUUCGGGACAUCAAGAAGGCCAUUAAAUGCAUUGAAGGAGGUCAAAAGUUUGCAAGGAAGUCCACCAGGAGGUCCAUUCGACUGCCAGAAACCGUUGACUUAGGUGCCUUGUAUCUGUCCAUGAAAGAUAUGGAGAAAGGAAUAAAAGAGCUGAAUCUAGAGAAGGACAAGAAGAUUUUUAAUCACUGCUUCACAGGUAACUGUGUCAUCGAUUGGCUGGUGUCCAAUAAGUCUGUUCGGAAUCGCCAGGAAGGCCUCAUGAUUGCCUCCUCACUGCUCGGUGAAGGGUACCUGCAGCCCGCUGGGGAACUGUCCAAGAAUGCAGCAGAUGGAACUGCUGAAAACCCUUUCCUGGACAACGCUGAUGCCUUUUAUUACUUUCCAGACAGCGGGUUCUUCUGUGAAGAGAAUUCCAGUGAUGAUGAUGUGAUUCUGAAAGAAGAAUUCAGAGGGGUCAUUAUCAAGCAGGGGUGUUUACUGAAGCAGGGGCACAGGAGGAAAAACUGGAAAGUGAGGAAGUUCAUUCUGAGAGAAGACCCUGCCUACCUGCACUAUUAUGACCCAGCCGGGGGGGAAGAUCCUCUGGGAGCAAUUCACUUGAGAGGCUGCGUCGUGACUUCAGUGGAGAGCAACCCAGAUGCAGUCAGGAAGAGUGAAGAGGAGAACCUCUUUGAGAUCAUCACUGCUGAUGAAGUUCAUUAUUUCUUGCAAGCGGCCACCCCCAAGGAGCGCACUGAGUGGAUCAAAGCCAUCCAGGUGGCCUCCCGGACUGGGAAGUGAGAAUAUUUCUGCAGCUCAUCGUCGCUCUCCUAAGGGUACCCCACGGAUAAGCUCGGUCUGGGACUGUCCACUUCUGGUGACACAUCAAUGAGAAAGGGCCCAGGGUUGGGAAAUUUUUGUCUGCAGAGGUUCUGAAUGUAGCUAACCACAUGCUGUGUCCUGUUCACCAGCGCCAACCACAUUGCUCACUGAAGCCUCUCUGUGUCCCCCAAGCAGAUGUAACAAGCUGUGCGGCCUGGCCUCACUGCUUCAUCUCUCCAGGCCCAAGCUUCAAAACCAAAAGCCCUGGGAUUCUAAUACCCAUGGAAGUGAAAGUGUCUCUAGUCACCCAGUAAGUGCGUGCCACUCUUAGGCUUCAUCUUGGCCCUUGGAUCCCGACACAUUCUUCCCUUUAAAUCUGUCCCUAAUCGGUACUAAGGGGACUAGGCAUAAACCUCUUGUUCUCAUUUGCCACCUUCUCUUGCUCUUGGCCAUUAGAUCAUGUAUCAUGAAGGAGAACUUUCUUCUUCCUUCCUCACUCAGACCAGAAAUUUCCUCAUAGCCAGUGCCCCAGGGUUGGCUUUUAGGUUGAAGCCUUCUAUCACUUACUACAGCCUGGAAAGUUCUAUCUUCUGGGAAAAUGACCCAAGGAAGCCAGGAAUAGCCGAGGGUCUUUUCUGUGCCCUGAAGCCAUCCAGAGCAGGCAUAUUCCCCUCCCACUUGAGGCUGAUGUGAGACGGGUGUAUCUUUGUCCCUUUCUGGAGCAUUUCUCUACCAUUGAUUGUAAUUAGGAGGGGGAACUCCAAAUCUUUGAGGUUCUGUUUUGAUUGAAUGUUUGCAGGAAAAAGUGGUCAGAUGGGUUCCCUCCAUGGGUUUCUUUCUUGGGUGAAGGGCUUGGGGGCUGGCUGGCUGGUGUACCGCCCCCCCCAACCCCCAUUCCAGCGGCUGCAGGGGCUGGACUGAAGACUGGCAGACUGGAUGAUGGGCUUAUACAAAGCACUGAGAUGACUUAAGUCUAGACAGAACUCCUGGAGGUGGCCGUCCACACUGCAGUGCCUCCAGUUCCACGGUCAGCGAUACUCUGGUUGUCCUGAGCUUUAGGCCCAAGCUGUAGCUGCUCUUGCUUGGCCUCUGCAGGGCCUCAUGAACCCAUUACCAACCAGAGCGAUCUGACCCAGUUUCAUAUUGGGUACCUGUUUUCAACCUUCGACCCUGUCCACCAACUAGUGAUUCUACCCCCAAUUUGAGAAAAACCCCAGGUAUGUGUGUGAAGGUGCAUUUUUUCAGUUUCAGAUUUCUAACUUUAAGGCUCUAGUGAGAAAAGGAGAGCAGAAAAUUCUUCCUGAUUUUAUCACCUCCUCUCUUUCCCUCCCCCCAUUUCACAUAAUACCCAUGAGGCUAUUCCUACUCCCAGAUUGUUUUCUUAAUGGACUAGGGGUAAAAGAUUACCUUUCCUCUGAUUCUUUAGUAAGCUGUCUUCUUAGAUCAUGCGCAAUAGUUUUUCUACAUUCAGUGUUAAAAGUAUUUAUUAAUAUGGAGUCAACUUUAUGUUUUGAAAUAAACAUGACCGUGUUUAGCGUC